AGUCCAUCAUCCAUGCCCUGGCUGCUUUACAGGGUGUAUCAGGACAGGAGAUAGAAGACCUAUUUCUUGGUGGCCCAGAAUACAGUGUCAGUGAAGUGGAAGAAUUUAACCGAAAGAUAGGGCAGCAAUUAAAGAAGGAGGGAAUGCUGUGAUAUCUGUUGGAAUAGAAGAUGCUACUGCUCAGUGCUUCCAGAAUCCUUCAUUUGAGUCUUGGGUCUGAAUCUACUGCGUCAUUGCCAAGUAUUCUGGGGUAAUGUAUCUUGUUUUGUUUACAUUUUGUUUUUCUCCAUAUUCCAAGCUCAUUUACUUGACCUUAGCUUUAAUAAACUGGAUGGCUGUCUCCUUCACAGUUGAUUUUAAAGUACUAUACUAUUCAUUACAUAAAAAGCUCUGAACAAUUUAGUCCCUUCCUGUAUUUGGUACUGUCUCUCCCCCAACACUCCUCAGUGUAAUCUUUAAACCACAACCACUAAUUUUCUUAUGAAAGAACUGGUGAAGCAGCUUGCACAUGUAUACCAAAAAUAUAGAAUGCCAGCUAUAAAUGAAAAACCUUUCAAAA